rnacentral:rRNA from 1 species
GACGAACCGUGCGAACGUUAUUCGGAAUCACUGGGCUUAAAGCGCGUGUAGGCGGGGCGGCACGUCGGUCGCUGAAAUCCCCCGGCUUAACCGGGGAACGGGCGCCGAUACGACCGCCCUGGAGGGACGUAGGGGGGCUGGAACUUCCGGUGGAGCGGUGAAAUGCGUUGAGAUCGGAAGGAACGCCCGUGGCGAAAGCGAGCCCCUGGACGUCUACUGACGGCUGAGACGCGAAAGCCAGGGGAGCGAACGGG